CAGCUGGAGCCCAGGGACCUUGCCCACCUCUGACUUCUCCCUCUGAUGAUUGCCCGGACGCCGCUGCCUUGACCUUUAAGGGGGCACUGGCCCGGGGGAGUGCCCUGAGCCGCAGCAAACCAUUUUGCUGUGGCACUGCAACCUCGAAGCUCCUGCCUAGAUUAGGAACCCUGCGUAGCCAGGGCCAUAUCGUCUACGUAACGGUGGCCUUGGGUCUCAGUGCUUUUCAUGGAUGGGCUCCACAUCAUCGCCUCACCACAAGCAAGCUCUAUUGCUGUCCCCACUUUACAGGCCUGACCACAGCCUGAUGGGAGGCACAGGAGAGGGAAGGACAUGACUUUGGGAGUCAGAUGAUGUCCAUCCUCAUCUCUGCUCUGUGUGAAUUGUGGCAGGAUCCUGGCCAGGCCCCUUCUCCUGCCUGACCUCAGCCUCCAUCUGUAGAGCGAGGAUGACCCUGAAGCCAGUGACCUCCACAGGCCCUCCUGCUCAAGGAUUCUCUGGCUUUCUCUGGUCUAUUUUUGCCUGACACCUCUCCCAGGGGCCUGUGGGCCUGAGCUAGUUUCCCUGGCUGGCCCCGAUCCAGGCAGCUCAGGUGGAGAGCGCCAAGCUAAUGAGGCCAAGGUCAUGGGCCAGUUAGCGGCUCUUGGAGAAAACCGUGGCUCUGCAGCCAGAACACAGCUCCCCCAUCAGU